CCUGUACUACAGCAGAGAGAGCGAGAGGAGGGACGUCAGCUGGCACCGCUCUGCAACCCCCCCCCAGCUGAUGCUGCAUUACCUCGACAACCGGCUCCGGGGUCACUGCCAGCUCUCUGCCCAGCACCCGGCCAGCCCCCCCGCCGACCUGAACCGGACCCGCCCCAAACCUGCACGGCCCCGCCCACAACUGGCAACCUGCAGGAGUCAUCAGGGCUGCGACAGAAAAGCCUAGUGAAGCCCGUAAACUCACCUCAUAAAGAUUUAUUUCCUGAGAUGGAGCGAUGAUUAGAAGAGAGAGAGGGAGCGAGAGAGAGAGGAGGGAAAGAUGACUCCACCACCCUGGGGGGAGGACGAGGUGAGAUGGAACCACUUCUCCGCUCACCAAUGGUUCCAUCUCUCCCGCCAUCGGAGCGCCAUCUGCUGGCCCGGUGGGGCGGGACAGCUGGUGUUGUGAAUCAGGCCGCCACAAUCAAAGGAACGGCUACUUCCCAACACCAGGGUCUCACCCUCACCCCUCUCACCCCAUCCCAACACCAGGAUCUGACCCCUCUCACCCCAUCGCCUCGGCUGGCAACGAGCCGCUCAGCGUAUGUUUCAAAGCGAGUGCUUUGUACUCUCCGGAUGAAAUGGCGAUCGGUAAUACUGGGACUUUGUACAAAUCUGUGUGGAGUUUAUGUUCCUUUUACAUCAUAUCUCCUGAAAUUAGGAAUUAGAAGAAAGUACAGCAAAUAUCCCAAAUAAAAAUGUUAAAUUAUUUCAAACCCCAUAGAACACACACAAAAAAUGAUGACAUGAAAUACAAUAAAAAAUGUUUCCCUAAUAAAUGAAUUAAAUGUGAAUUUAAAAAGAAUAUGACAAUGGUUUUGUCUUUUAAUAAAAGCUACUUGUUAAAGACUUCAUGGGAGUAUUUAUAAUAUAUAAUGGCAAUGCGCCACCAGAAAAUGACCUGAAUGUAUAUACUUUUUUUCCCCUCAUGAACAGCAGUGUGUUCACACCAAACUAAGCCCUUAAGCUGCUGAAGCUGUAGCUGAUCACCUCCGGCCACUAAGGGAUGAAAAUGUAUAUUGCUCAUUAUCUUAAUAAACCACCACCCUUCUGCUGAUUGCCUUA